UUAUCGCGAAGCGAUUGGUGUUAUCCUUCCAUUUGAACUGCAGGAGGCGUUCCCGCUCGCGGACAUACUGAUUUACAUCGUUGACAAGGUUGUGUGCAAUAGGAAGAAGCAAGAGAUCGAGGAUUUAGCAGGUAAGUCUGACUUCUCACCUGAAUGCACCUGAAAAUAAACCUUGACUUCUGACUGUUGCAAGAAAGCUACAUUUUAAGUGCGGUACAUAUCAAGCAUAAAAUGAAAGAGAUGACUUAAGAGGAGAAAAAUCGCAGUAGGAUUCCUAGAACGGGAAGACCUCAGAUCUUGGAUCUGGCUGCUCUUGGACAGGGAAGACCUUGAAUCUUAGGUUUCUUUUCUCCUGGUCAUGGAAGAUGUCAAAGCUUGGGACUGGUUGCUCGGGUUUGAGAGAUGCAGAUCAACCUUUAUGGCCAGGCUGUGAACCGACUUCUCAAACGUCUUGAGACCGAGCCAGAUCAGAUUGUUGGCUGAGCUUACACCCCUUCAGAAAAUUCGAAAGAAUGAGGAAAUUUUGCAAGUGGAGAUUAGAAGGAUUAUUCUAAACUGGUGGAUGAAGCUAUGUGUUCUCUUAGUUUAGUGGACUUUUAUAUGUUUGCAUAGUUUUUGUUCUUCAAAAUGAAGCUUGGAAUAUUUUAGAAUUUUUUAGCGAACUUAAGUUUCAUGUAUGACUGAUUGU